GACGUAGGGUGCGAGCGUUGUCCGGAUUUAUUGGGCGUAAAGAGCUCGUAGGCGGCUCGUCGCGUCGACCGUGAAAACUUGGGGCUUAACCCUAAGCUUGCGGUUGAUACGGGCGGGCUAGAGUUCGGUAGGGGAGACUGGAAUUCCUGGUGUAGCGGUGAAAUGUGCAGAUAUCAGGAGGAACACCGGUGGCGAAGGCGGGUCUCUGGGCCGAUACUGACGCUGAGGAGCGAAAGCGUGGGGAGCGAACAGG
rnacentral:rRNA from 1 species